rnacentral:lncRNA from 1 species
UGAAGAAAGAAAUUAAAGAAGAUCUCAGAAGAUGGAAAGAUCUCCCAUGCUCAUGGAUUGGCAGGAUUUGUUUUAUCCAACUCAUCCCUUGACAUCGUGCUUCACGAUACAUACUAUGUAGUAGCCCAUUUCCACUAUGUUCUAUCAAUGGGAGCAGUGUUUGCUAUCAUAGCAGGAUUUGUUCACUGAUUCCCAUUAUUUUCAGGCUUCACCCUAGAUGACACAUGAGCAAAAGCCCACUUCGCCAUCAUAUUCGUAGGAGUAAACAUAACAUUCUUCCCUCAACAUUUCCUGGGCCUUUCAGGAAUACCACGACGCUACUCAGACUACCCAGAUGCUUACACCACAUGAAACACUGUCUCUUCUAUAGGAUCAUUUAUUUCACUAACAGCUGUUCUCAUCAUGAUCUUUAUAAUUUGAGAGGCCUUUGCUUCAAAACGAGAAGUAAUAUCAGUAUCGUAUGCUUCAACAAAUUUAGAAUGACUUCAUGGCUGCCCUCCACCAUAUCACACAUUCGAGGAACCAACCUAUGUAAAAGUAAAAUAAGAAAGGAAGGAAUCGAACCCCCUAAAAUUGGUUUCAAGCCAAUCUCAUAUCCUAUAUGUCUUUCUCAAUAAGAUAUUAGUAAAAUCAAUUACAUAACUUUGUCAAAGUUAAAUUAUAGAUCAAUAAUCUAUAUAUCUUAUAUGGCCUACCCAUUCCAACUUGGUCUACAAGACGCCACAUCCCCUAUUAUAGAAGAGCUAAUAAAUUUCCAUGAUCACACACUAAUAAUUGUUUUCCUAAUUAGCUCCUUAGUCCUCUAUAUCAUCUCGCUAAUAUUAACAACAAAACUAACACAUACAAGCACAAUAGAUGCACAAGAAGUUGAAACCAUUUGAACUAUUCUACCAGCUGUAAUCCUUAUCAUAAUUGCUCUCCCCUCUCUACGCAUUCUAUAUAUAAUAGACGAAAUCAACAACCCCGUAUUAACCGUUAAAACCAUAGGGCACCAAUGAUACUGAAGCUACGAAUAUACUGACUAUGAAGACCUAUGCUUUGAUUCAUAUAUAAUCCCAACAAACGACCUAAAACCUGGUGAACUACGACUGCUAGAAGUUGAUAACCGAGUCGUUCUGCCAAUAGAACUUCCAAUCCGUAUAUUAAUUUCAUCUGAAGACGUCCUCCACUCAUGAGCAGUCCCCUCCCUAGGACUUAAAACUGAUGCCAUCCCAGGCCGACUAAAUCAAGCAACAGUAACAUCAAACCGACCAGGGUUAUUCUAUGGCCAAUGCUCUGAAAUUUGUGGAUCUAACCAUAGCUUUAUGCCCAUUGUCCUAGAAAUGGUUCCACUAAAAUAUUUCGAAAACUGAUCUGCUUCAAUAAUU